rnacentral:rRNA from 1 species
AUUGAACGCUAGCGGGAUGCCUUACACAUGCAAGUCGAACGAGUGGCGAACGGGUGAGUAAUGUAUCGGAACGUGCCCAGUAGCGGGGGAUAACUACGCGAAAGCGUAGCUAAUACCGCAUACUAUCAGAUGAGCCUAGGUCGGAUUAGCUAGUUGGUGGGGUAACGGCUCACCUAGGCGACGAUCCCUAGCUGGUCGGAGAGGAUGACCAGCCACACUGGAACUGAGACACGGUCCAGACUCCUACGGGAGGCAGCAGGGGGGAAUAUUGCACAAUGGGCGCAAGCCUGAUGCAGCCAUGCCGCGUGUGUGAAGAAGGCCUUCGGGUUGUAAAGCACUUUCAGCGGGGAGGCGUUACCCGCAGAAGAAGCACCGGCUAACUCCGUGCCAGCAGCCGCGGUAAUAC